rnacentral:rRNA from 1 species
AGGACGAACGCUGGCGGCGUGCUUAACACAUGCAAGUCGAGCGGAAAGGCCCUUCGGGGUACUCGAGCGGCGAACGGGUGAGUAAUACGUGAGCAACCUGCCCUUAGCUCUGGGAUAGCUCCGGGAAACCGGAAUUAAUACCGGAUAUGACCUAGGCCGACAUCGGCCGUGGUGGAAAGUUUUUCGGCUAGGGAUGGACUCGCGGCCUAUCAGCUAGUUGGUGGGGUAAUGGCCUACCAAGGCGACGACGGGUAGCCGGCCUGAGAGGGCGACCGGCCACACUGGGACUGAGACACGGCCCAGACUCCUACGGGAGGCAGCAGUGGGGAAUCUUGCGCAAUGGGCGAAAGCCUGACGCAGCGACGCCGCGUGGGGGAUGAAGGCCUUCGGGUUGUAAACCCUUUCAGCAGGGACGAAGCGAAAGUGACGGUACCUGCAGAAGAAGCGCCGGCUAACUACGCGCCAGCAGCCGC